GAAUAUAGCUCAGUCGGCAAACCGUGAGACUCUGAAUCUCAGAGUAGUGGGUUUGAGCCCCACGUUGUGCA